GAAAUGAAACCGAACAUCCAAAAAUCUCCAUAUCCAACUAUCCCGCGCCUCUCUCCUCUGUGUCCGUACUUCCAUCCUCCCGUUCAUUCCCCAGGAGUUAAACUGCUCAACCGGCGCAACUCACUGGGUACCUCAAAACAGGGCUGAAACUCAUUGUGAAACCACUGUAGCAGGAUAAAUGAUGACUUGAUUGAAUAAAUUUUCAGGCAAUACGUACUUGUCAUUGUAAUUGAUCAACAGCUAAGGGCAUGCCUGCCAUGAAGGGUGCUGUUACUAGUGGUAUUGAAAACAUAUUCAGCAAAUUGAUAACAGAAAUUGGAGAUCCUGUUGACUUUGAACUUCCUGACUGGCUAAAUAAGUGGCAGCCUGUGCCAUACACCUUUAUAAAACGCAAUAUAUAUCUCACUAAGAGGAUUAAGAGGCGUUUGGAAGAUGAUGGCAUAUUUUGUUCCUGCAACUCAGUGGCUGGAUCUUCUGAUGUGUGCGGUAGGGAUUGCCUCUGCAGCAUGCUAAUGUCUAGCUGCUCAUCGGGAUGUAAAUGUGGAGGUUCAUGCCUCAAUAAACCUUUCCAUCAACGUGCUGCCAAGAAGAUGAAAAUAGUGAAGACUGAGAAAUGUGGAUCAGGAAUUGUUGCAGAUGAAGAUAUUAAGCAAGGAGAGUUUGUUAUAGAAUAUGUUGGGGAAGUUAUUGAUGAUAAGACAUGUGAAGAGAGACUUUGGAAAAUGAAACACCUUGGGGAAACUAAUUUUUACUUGUGUGAAAUUAAUCGGGAUACGGUUAUUGAUGCAACUUAUAAGGGAAACAAAUCAAGAUACAUUAAUCACAGUUGUUGUCCAAAUACCGAGAUGCAGAAGUGGAUGAUUGAUGGUGAAACAAGAAUAGGCAUAUUUGCUACGUGUGACAUAAAAAAGGGAGAGCAUCUGACCUAUGAUUAUCAGUUUGUACAGUUUGGUGCAGAUCAGGAUUGCCACUGUGGAGCUGUAGGAUGUAGACGAAAACUUGGUGUCAAACCAACCAAGCCGAAGAUUUCCUCUUCAGAUGCUGCAUUGCAUUUAGUGGCCUGUCAGGUGGCAGCUACUUCUCCCAAAGUGAGAACACUUUUGUCUGCAAGACAGGCAUAUCCAAAUGGCGCUCGUGUUGCAGGUAGUUCAUGUAAUGAUUCUGCUCAAAGAGUAAGGUCUACGCGUAAUUGCAUCGGUCAAAUCAUUAGAAUAAGUCGCUCUUCUGAUAUGAGGUCUUACGGAAUUAUAAAACAGUUUGAUAGUACCACAAGAAAACAUUUGAUCAUGUUUGAAGAUGGCAAGACGGAGUAUCUUGACUUGUCAAGAGAAGAUUGGCAAUUAUGCAACUUCUCUGUGUAAUUAGGAAUAUAAAUUAUAAUGUGAAACCUGGCAUACCUCACAAGGGAUGCCCCAGAAUGAUGUACAAUGUAAUUGUAAGUCAUUUUCAUUGAAAUAGGGAAUGAUGUUAAUCACAUUAACAAUUCACUCGAAACGACCAUACUGUAAUGAAGACCAUUUACAAUUUCAAUGAACAUUUGCUUCAAGCCAUACCAUACAAGGAUCGGCAACGAAUACAAAGUUAAGUGGCAUAGCUCCCUUUUGGCAAACAAAGUUGUGUUGGGGGGAUUCAUAAAUGUUGAUGGUGGAUCCUUUGUUGUACUGUACCAAUUGUAUAAUUGUACUUUGGUAGCCCUUUGUCAAUAAAAGCAUGAGAUAGUGGUUCAUUCAUUCAAAGUGACUUUCUAGAUUAUUUGAAAUUGUAAUAUUAUUCUUUUUCGUGUAACCAUAGCAAAUGUAACAUUAGGCAAAAGACUAACACAAGAGGUAAAACAGUUUUGUUGUGACUCCAAUGAAUUUGCUUGAUUUGUGUUG